AGAGUUUGAUCCUGGCUCAGGACGAACGCUGGCGGCGUGCCUAAUACAUGCAAGUCGUGCGGACCUUUUAAAAGCUUGCUUUUAAAAGGUUAGCGGCGGACGGGUGAGUAACACGUGGGCAACCUGCCUGUAAGACCGGGAUAACGCCGGGAAACCGGGGCUAAUACCGGAUCGUUUUUUCCUCCGCAUGGAGGAAAAAGGAAAGGCGGCUUCGGCUACCACUUACAGAUGGGCCCGCGGCGCAUUAGCUAGUUGGCGGGGUAACGGCCCACCAAGGCAACGAUGCGUAGCCGACCUGAGAGGGUGAUCGGCCACAUUGGGACUGAGACACGGCCCAAACUCCUACGGGAGGCAGCAGUAGGGAAUCUUCCGCAAUGGACGAAAGUCUGACGGAGCAACGCCGCGUGAGUGAAGAAGGCCUUCGGGUCGUAAAACUCUGUUGCCGGGGAAGAACAAGUGCCGUUCGAACAGGGCGGCGCCUUGACGGUACCCGGCCAGAAAG
rnacentral:rRNA from 1 species